rnacentral:rRNA from 1 species
CCUACGGGAGGCAGCAGUGAGGAAUAUUGGUCAAUGGACGAGAGUCUGAACCAGCCAAGUAGCGUGAAGGAUGACUGCCCUAUGGGUUGUAAACUUCUUUUAUAUGGGAAUAAAAUGUUCCACGUGUGGGAUUUUGUAUGUACCAUAUGAAUAAGGAUCGGCUAACUCAGUGCCAGCAGCCGCGGUAAUACGGAGGAUCCGAGCGUUAUCCGGAUUUAUUGGGGUUAAAGGGAGCGUAGGUGGAUUGUUAAGUCAGUUGUGAAAGUUUGCGGCUCAACCGUAAAAUUGCAGUUGAAACUGGCAGUCUUGAGUACAGUAGAGGUGGGCGGAAUUCGUGGUGUAGCGGUGAAAUGCUUAGAUAUCACGAAGAACUCCGAUUGCGAAGGCAGUUCACUGGACUGCAACUGACACUGAGGCUCGAAAGUGUGGGUAUCAAACAGGAUUAGAUACCCGAGUAGUC